rnacentral:tRNA from 1 species
UAGCUCACUUGGUAGAGCAUGGUGCUCACAAUGCCAGGGUUGUGGGUCAAUUCCCAC